rnacentral:lncRNA from 1 species
GGAACCCGAGGUCAUAUCAACAAUGGGUGCAUACAGUCAAGAAAGGAGGUGCACUGUUCAACACAGCAAUGACCAAAGCAACCCCUGCUGUACGGACAGCAUAUAAAUUUGUAAGUUUUUUUGAUAUUUAACAAUCCUAUUUAUGAAAUUAUAAAACAUUUUCCUAGGUGAUAGACAUAUAAAUUCUGAAUAUUUUCUAUUUUUCUUUUAAAUAAACCUAAAAAAAAAUUAGGAUUAAUAUUGACCAAAGCAAAUUCAAUUGUUAAAAUUAUAACAUUGCAUGCAGAGGGUAGUUUCUUUUAUAUAAUCUAAAAAUGGUUCUCAUUUUAUUCCAAAGCUAUCGGCAAAGUUGUGCAGCAAAUUGAAACAGUUAUUGAUGGGGUACCAUUUUGUAAAAUGUCAUUAUUUCAUUUAACAACAUUUUACAUUCUUGCUGUGUACUUGCGGCUCAAGUAGAAAAAAAAA